AGUACGGCCCCCGUAACUGUGACGUUCCUAAAGCUCUUAACUGUAAAGUCCGACCCCCGUAACUGUAACGUUCCUAUAACGCUCUUAACUGUAAAGUCCGACCCCCGUAACUGUAACGUUCCUAUAACGCUCUUAACUGUAAAGUCCGGCCCCCGUAACUGUAACGUUCCUAUAACGCUCUUAACUGUAAAGUCCGGCCCCCGUAACUGUAACGUUCCUAUAACGCUCUUAACUGUAAAGUCCGACCCCCGUAACUGUAACAUUCCUAUAACGCUCUUAACUGUAAAGUCCGACCCCCGUAACUGUAACGUUCCUAUAACGCUCUUAACUGUAAAGUCCGACCCCCGUAACUGUAACGUUCCUAUAACGCUCUUAACUGUAAAGUCCGACCCCCGUAACUGUAACGUUCCUAUAACGCUCUUAACUGUAAAGUCCGACCCCCGUAACUGUAACGUUCCUAUAACGCUCUUAACUGUAAAGUCCGACCCCCGUAACUGUAACGUUCCUAUAACGCUCUUAACUGUAAAGUCCGGCCCCCGUAACUGUAACGUUCCUAUAACGCUCUUAACUGUAAAGUCCGGCCCCCGUAACUGUAACGUUCCUAUAACGCUCUUAACUGUAAAGUCCGGCCCCCGUAACUGUAACGUUCCUAUAACGCUCUUAACUGUAAAGUCCGGCCCCCGUAACUGUAACGUUCCUAUAACGCUCUUAACUGUAAAGUCCGGCCCCCGUAACUGUAACGUUCCUAUAACGCUCUUAACUGUAAAGUCCGGCCCCCGUAACUGUAACGUUCCUAUAACGCUCUUAACUGUAAAGUCCGGCCCCCGUAACCGUAACGUUCCUAUAACGCUCUUAACUGUAAAGUCCGGCCCCCGUAACCGUAACGUUCCUAUAACGCUCUUAACUGUAAAGUCCGGCCCCCGUAACUGUAACGUUCCUAUAACGCUCUUAACUGUAAAGUCCGGCCCCCGUAACUGUAACGUUCCUAUAACGCUCUUAACUGUAAAGUCCGGCCCCCGUAACCGUAACGUUCCUAUAACGCUCUUAACUGUAAAGUCCGGCCCCCGUAACUGUAACGUUCCUAUAACGCUCUUAACUGUAAAGUCCGGCCCCCGUAACUGUAACGUUCCUAUAACGCUCUUAACUGUAAAGUCCGGCCCCCGUAACUGUAACAUUCUUUUUUUUUACUGUAAUGUUUUUUUAACUGUAACAAUGUGA
ensembl:lncRNA